UUUUACCCUAGAUCUCAGCAGCCUCCCCCUUCUUCCCCUGCCUCCAACUGUUGCUUCUCCUCUCCAACAACACCGUCGCCGCCUCUAACCACUCCGAGGUUCCCUGCGUCUCUGCUGGCGCCAGCCACUAGUUCGUCGGCGUUUGUCCAGCGCGCUGACCCUCACAACCCGCCGUUCUUCGACGGUGCGUUCGACUUUGCAUUCUCCGCAAGGCUCGACGAGGCGCUGUUCCCGGCGAGAUUCGCUACAGAGAUGGAUCCCCGUGUCAGGUCUGGUGGCUCGUGUGUUGUCGCCGUCGCGAGUGCGGGGAUGAUAAGUUGAAUCACGGUUGGACCGGUUGGAUCAGUGAACCAGUGACUAAAACGGUUUGAUGACCAGUAGUGAGUAGUAGCUGCUGGAACUCACUCUCACAGUCUCACUCCCUGCUGCUUAGACGCCGAAAAGACGGAUUUGUCCUCACCUGGUUCUUCAGUGUUGCUAACUGAAAUUGCAGCACGCUAACUUGUCUUCUCUUCACCAUCUUGGCAUCUUUUUCCAGAAAAAAGAAAAAUAAAAAAAAGGGGAUUUGGUAACCCUUGAUGGAAAUGGUGGUGAUGCAUGGUCGGGUAGUAAAGGUUGAAGCUGUGGAGGGAGACUUGCAGUGGUUCUGAUUUCUGUUCAUAAUACUCUGAUGUCAUCCAUGUCUGGAGAGAGUGAAACUGUGUCGUUUCAAGCUUCUGAAACUCAGAAUACCAUUCAAAGGAUUCUACAAUCAUGCUCUAAACUGGUUGAGGCUGGCGAUAUCCAUGAGUCUGACAGCACAAUCUCAGAGCUUGUCAACUUCCUUGAUUCUUUAUCGGAUGCCGCUCUUUCAGACCUAAACAAUGAGCCUGCGCAGAAUGAUGCAUUUGAUGCUCUCACUGAGAUCCAUCAAUAUAUAUGUUCUCCUUCUCUUGCCCAGGAAGCUGUUGAUGCCCUUUCCUUUGAAUUACCAAAGGCCGUCUCCAAGUUUGCUGGCAUUUCGAACAGAUUUUUAGACAAGGCAAUCAGCAUCAUUGAUCAGUUUCUAGAGAAAUGUGGUCCAAGGGAUAUGCUUUCUAUUCUUUGUAAUACAAUAGGUUAUUCAAGUAAUAUGACCAAGGCUGCCAGUUACAUUGUUCCUCCGUUAUCAGGGCUCUCAAAGGUCUUUACCUCCAUCAAGAGGCGUCAUUUUGAGCAAGUACAAGUGGCUGUUCCGAUCAUUCUUAAUGUGUUGAAGGCUGUGGCUUUGGAUUCAGAUGACGCAGAUGAUGCAGAACUUGAGAGUGUAUUUCACAGAGCUGUUGGGAUUGCAAAUUCUAUAUAUGAAGUUUGCAAUAAGUUGGACGGUGUUUCAAAUGAGAAGCUCCGAGCUCUUCUUGGACUAUAUGUCCUCCAAUGCCUGGCACUUCUUUCGGCCAGCAUAAGCUAUAAAGAUUCCACCUGUCAUUUGUUGGUGUUGGAACUGUCACAAAUAUCUUCAUAUUGUGGUUUAACAUAUAUGAGUCUUUUAACUGCUUUCGAUGUUGAGACUGUGGUUGGCUUUGUUUUUGGAGAAGAUAAAGAUGCCCAUAUGAGUUGUUUGUCUCAUGUCAAACAUGGUGUUGCUCUUUCAGUGGUAUGGGGGCUUGUCUCAGAGGAGGUUGCUCAUGCCACUAAAGAGAGUUUGGUUGCUAUCAAGGAUGACCUUCACAAUAACCAGACCAAACGAUGGCAAGCAAUAGGAACAUUAAAACAUGUACUUUCCUUUGUCAAUUUGCCAUGGGAGCUAAAGAAACAUACUAUCAACUUCUUGCUUUGCAUCACAGAUGGAUGCGUUUCCGGAGAAUAUCUUGGUGAACAUUCUGAAUGGUCAUCUUAUAUGCCUAACAUUUUCACAGCUUUGCAGGCUAUUAAAAUGGUUAUCAUGUAUGCCCCAGAGCCAGAAGUAAGAAAAAAAUCCUUUGCUUUGCUGAAAGCAGUACUCACUGAUAUUCCUGAUACUCGAAGGUUUGACAUUUUGAAAGCGUUGAUUACAAAUACAGACUCAUCCUCCAUGAUUGCCAUUUUCAUCGAUAUUGUCAGGAGGGAAAUGCACAUGGAAGUUUGCAACAGUACAUCCGUAAAAGAAGCCCCAGACUCUAAUAAUGAAACGCAUCCCGAUAUGCCAUUUUGGACUCCAAGUGUUCUUGAGUUGGUGGAGUUGGUUCUAAGGCCCCCACGUGGUGGACCUCCUUCCCUCCCUGAUGCGAGUGAUGCGGUUUUGUCAGCUCUCAACCUAUACAGAUUUGUAUUGAUGACAGAAUCUACAGGUAACAUCAAAACGUAUAGAUCAUAGCACAAGUUUACAAUAUCAUGCCCUACCCUACAGGUUUUGUCAGCACUCAACCUAUACAGAUUUGUAUUGAUGACAGAAUCUACAGGAAAGACAAACCGCACUGGAGUAUUGUCUAGGAGCAAUUUAGUGAAGGCCUACAAUGAAUGGCUGCUUCCUUUGCGCACCUUGGUGAGUGGGAUUAUGACAGAGAACAAGAAUGAUUAUGAUCAGCUUGCAGUUGACACUGUGUGUACCCUGAAUCCACUUGAACCUGUUUUGUACCGUUGCAUUGAGCUUGUAGAAGAGAAGCUUAAACAAUCUACCACAUAAGCUUUUCUUUUUCACCAAAGUUGUCCUCUUUCGUAAACAUUCCCUGAAUGAGAAUAUUUGGUUUCAAUAUUAAUCCUCCUUGUAGAUAAAGCCCUAGAACAACAACAACAACAAUAAUAAUUGUAGAAGAGAAUGAAGAGUGUAAAAUGAUCAAUGGGAAAAGAAAAGAGGGGGUACUUAAAGUAUCUCAUUUUUUGUAUGCUGAAAAAAUAACGAGCUUCUUGUAUUC